CAAUAGCGUAUAUUAAAGUUGUUGCGGUUAAAAGCUCGUAGUUGGAUUUCUUCUCUUAUCAGCCGGUCCUCACUUCGUGAGAGUAUCUGGUCAGAUUUGAGAAUCCUCUUGAGGAACGUCGCUGCGCUUGAUUGCGUGGCACGGUAUUCAAGACUUUUACUUUGAGGAAAUUGGAGUGUUCACGGCAGGCAUUCGCCUUGUACACAUUAGCAUGGAAUAAUAAUAUAGGAUCACGACCCUAUUUUGUUGGUUUCUUAGAGUUGUGAUAAUGAUUAAUAGGGACGAAUUGGGGGCGGAUUUGUUAUUAACAACGUCAGAGGUGGAAUUCUUGGAUUGUUGUUACGUACAAACUAACUGCGAAAGACAUUUGUCCAAGGAAGUGUUUUCUAUUGAUCAAGAACGAAAGUAAUGGGAGUCGAAG
rnacentral:rRNA from 1 species